AGGUCACAGUCCUCUCCCCAGGGAAGGCUCUUCUCAUUUCAGACACCUGCUGUCUGAGCUUUGGGGUUCUGACCACCUCGGUACAAAUUCAGCGGUUUCCUGUACCCUGUUAGGUUCAGUGGUUUCCUGUACCCUGUUAGGUUCAGUGGUUUGCUGUAAUGACUCAGAAUUUAGCAUAGUACUAUACUCAUGAUUACAGUUUUAUUACAACAGAUAGAAGGCAGGACUGGCAAAUGAGGAGACACGUAGAGUGAGGUCUGGAGGCCCCAGCAUGAGGAGCGUUCACGACCUCAGGACGCGUCACCCUCCUGGCACGUGGACGAAUGAUUGCCAGCCAGUCAGGCUCACUUUGGAAUGUCCCUCAGUUUGGAUUUGUCAGAUGUUUUUCUCAUGAUUAAAUCGGGGCUGUGAAGACCACAGAGGUGUGUCUUAUGGUCCUGUGUGUCUUACAGUUCUAAAAAUACGGUAGGUGCCAUUCUUCUCACCUCACAUCAAGGAUACAUAACCCUCAUGACUUCUGUGGAUGUUGACCUUAAUCAUCCGGGACAGUAUCUACCAGCCUUCUCCACUGUAAAGUCACCCUCUUCCUUUCACGUUGUACUUUUUGGAAAGAAGUUAUCAGACAUGCACAUUCUUAAGGAACGGGGAGUUAUUCUCCACCGUACCUCCAGCAUGGAGGAAGAUAGAGGUAUUUUUGAUAGAAAGAGAAAAGACUUGAAAUGUGCAGAGGAGAAGUGGGGGGAGAAAGAGAAGGAGAGAAACAACCAAGUGUGGUUGCCUGUCAC